AAACAAGCGUCUCAGUUCAGAUUGCAGGCUGCAACCCGCCUGCAUGAAGUCGGAAUUGCUAGUAAUCGCGGAUCAGCAUGCCGCGGUGAAUACGUUCCCGGGCCUUGUACACACCGCCCGUCACACCAUGAGAGCCGGGGGGACCCGAAGUCCGUAGCUUAACCGUAAGGAGGGCGCGGCCGAAGGUAAAACUGGUGAUUGGGGUGAAGUCGUAACAAGGUAUC
rnacentral:rRNA from 1 species